UCGGGCUGUAGCCAUGGAGACGCGUGGGCGGGGCCUCCCAGUAAAGUGCGAACUUUGACUUGCAAGCUAGGCCACACCACAGGCCUGUGCAACCUGAGGAGCUGAGGAUGCUGUGGCCAAGCCCGGGGCCUGGGCGUUGCUGGGCUCCCCUGGGCUGCCUGGCUGCUCACCGCGUGGCCAUGGUUGACCGGCAGCCAUGGAGACCCUGGGGGACUGGAGGAUGUGUUGCAGGGAAGAACAAGCCCUGGAGAGGAAGCAGCCUGGAGUCCAGAUCAAGGACAGGACCUCUCUGAAGGGAGACAGCCAUCCCGGCUAAUCUUUUCUGAUGCUAAUCUCUGCAAGGACAGUGAAGAAAGGCACACCCUGGGAACUCACCGAUUUUAGCUUUUUCCCCAUUCACUAUGCCUAUGUAAAAGCUGGUUUGAAAUGAAAUGUCAGAGCAGUCUUUUCAGGGUGUUACACCUGCUUGCCCAGAUGCCGGCUAUCUGAUUAAUAAAACGCACCGUAAAGGUUCAA